rnacentral:lncRNA from 1 species
GUCAGGAGAUUGAGACCAUCCUGGCUAACACGGUGAAACCCCGUCUCUACUAAAAAUACAAAAAAAUUAGCCGGGCGUGGCGGCGGGCGCCUGUAGUCCCAGCUACUUGGGAGGCUGAGGCAGGAGAAUGGUGCGAACCCGGGAGGCAGAUUUUGCAGAGAGCCGAGAUCGUGCCACUGCACUCCAGCCUGGGCGACAGAGCAAGACUCCGUCUCAAAACAAAAAACAAACAAACAAAUAUGGAGCAUUCUGAUAUGAAUAAGACACUUGCUCACUUCUCAAUUCCUUGGUGUCCAGCUCUACAAGUGUAUAUAGACUUCCAAAGAAUAUUUAAAUCCUUUAACAAAAAUGCCACCUAAGAAAAUAUGAAAUACUUCAGUCUGUCUGUCAGUGCUCACUUCCUGUCUAGAAACUUUCAGGCUCCGGCACAAAUGAACCAUGUUCUUCGCCUAAGUCAUUUAUGGAACAUCUGCUUUCGGUUUAGCAUCAGGGGAAACAAAGCAAAGAAGAAUGACACUGAAGAAUCAAAAAAAAAAAUGAGCAUAAGACCCAUGAAGAUUACAGACACAUACACUCCUAAAAUUAAACAUUAAGCGGAAUAAAAAUAAUCCCAGAUUAUAUGGUCUGACAUGCCAGAAGAAAUAAAAACCUAAGGAAUUAGUUAAAAUCUGUGCAAAAAAAAAAAAAAAAAAAAAAAAAAAAAAACACUAUGACUAGAAAAAGCACUAUUACUAGUAAAAAUAAUGAUAAUGAAUUCUGGUGUCUAAAAUAUUGAACUAAAUAGUUAACAAUAGCAUAUACAUUAAGAGAGAGUGAUUGGGAUUUACAGGUUCUUAAUCCUGCUAAUGUCAGGAAUAAGGUAGAGAUAAUGUUAGCAGAGAUUUUGAUAAAUAUGUAUAUUAAAAUCUGUAGGGUAAUCACUGAAACCAAAAUGGUGGAUAUAAUUUAUCAAAUAAUAGCAAACAAAUCAAGUGAAAAAUUACCAAAUUAAGGCUGGGCACGGUGGCUUACACCUGUAAUCCCAACAAUUUGGGAGGCUGAGGUGGGUGGAUCACCUGAGGUCAGGAGUUUGGGACCCAGCCUGGCCAACAUGGUGAAACACCAUCUCUACUAAAAAUACAAAAAUUAGCCAGGGGUGGUGGUUGGUGCCUGUAAUCCCAUCUACUCAGGCAACUGAGGCAGGAGAAUCACUUGAACCCAGGAGGCAGAGGUUGCAGUGAGCCAAGAUGGCGCCUCUGCACUCCAGCCUGGGAGACAAGAGUGAAACUCUAUCUCAAAAAAAAAAAAAAUUAAUUAAUUAAUUCAUAAAAGGCUAGAGAGCAUGAAAAACAAAAGAGAAAAAAAUAGCAUUCAGCUAUCAGAAGUCUGGGUCUAAAGGAAAUAAAUCUGUUAAAUCCAGUAGUCAGACUCCUUAAACUUUGGCCUGCCUCUCCCAGAUGAGAUUAUACCAAAACCAACCUAAUUAUUACUAAAUUAUUUGAUCAAUUUGGAAUUGAAAGGAUGAGGAAGAAAACACAACUAAAAGGAAUUGUACACCCAACAUUAUACACUAAGUCAAUUCCAGUUUGGGAUAAAGAAAAAUCUAAAAAAUGAAAGUAUACAACUUUUAGAAGUCAUUUCAUGGGGAUAUAUUUAUAAUUUAAAGACAGCAAAAAAAAAAAAAAAA